rnacentral:rRNA from 1 species
UACGUAGGGGGCAAGCGUUGUCCGGAUUUAUUGGGCGUAAAGAGCGUGUAGGCGGCCUGAAAGGUCAGCUGUGAAAACUCGAGGCUCAACCUCGAGACGUCGGUUGAAACCAUCUGGCUAGAGUCCGGAAGAGGAGAGUGGAAUUCCCGGUGUAGCGGUGAAAUGCGCAGAUAUCGGGAAGAACACCCGUGGCGAAGGCGGCUCUCUGGGCCGAUACUGACGCUGAGGAGCGAAAGCGUGGGAGCGAACGAGG